AACGGGGGGGGGCAAGCGUUAUUCGUCGUUAUUGGGCGUAAAGGGUACGUAGGUGGGUUUUAUUAUUUCUUAGCCAAAGGACACGGUUUACGUUGUCAGUGCUGUUUAAAGAAAAGACCUAGAGACUGUAAAAGGUUAGAAGAAUUACUAAAGUAGGGGUAAAAUGUGCUGAUCUUAGUACGAAUACCGCAUGCGCAGGCAUCUUUCUUAGCAGUCUGACACUGAGGUACGAAAGCAUGGGGAGUC
rnacentral:rRNA from 1 species